AUUGAACGCUGGCGGCAGGCUUAACACAUGCAAGUCGAGCGGGGAAAAGUAGCUUGCUACUGGACCUAGCGGCGGACGGGUGAGUAAGGCUUAGGAAUCUGCCGAUUAGUGGGGGACAACAUCUCGAAAGGGAUGCUAAUAACGCAUACGUCCGACGGGAGAAAGAAGGGGCACUUCGGGCCUUGCGCUAAUACAUGAGCCUAAGUCGGAUUCGCUAGUUGGGGGGGUAAAGGCCCACCAAGGCGACGACCUGUAGCGGGUAUGGGAGGAUGAUCCGCCGAACUGGGACUGCGACACGGCCCAGACUCCUACGGGAGGCAGCAGUGGGGAAUAUUGGACAAUGGGGGGAACCCUGAUCCAGCCAUGCCGCGUGUGUGAAGAAGGCCUUUUGGUUGUAAAGCACUUUAAGCGAGGAGGAGGCUACCGAGAUUAAUACUCUUGGAUAGUGGACGUUACUCGCAGAAGGAGCACCGGCUGACUCUGUGCCAGCCGCCGCUGUAAGAC
rnacentral:rRNA from 1 species